rnacentral:rRNA from 1 species
AUUGAACGCUGGCGGCAGGCCUAACACAUGCAAGUCGAGCGGAACGGCGGACGGGUGAGUAAUGACUCGGUAUCUGCCUGGUCGUGGGGGAUAACGUCCGGAUAGGGGCGCUAAUAACGCAUGCUAUCAGAUGAGUUUAGGGUGGAUUAGCUAGUUGGUGGGGGAAAGGCUUACCAAGGCGACGAGCCGUAACUGGUCUGAGAGGAUGAUCGGUCACACUGGGACUGAGACACGGCCCAGACUCCUACGGGAGGCAGCAGUGGGGAAUAUUGGACAAUGGGCGAAAGCCUGACCCAGCCAUGCCGCGUGUGUGAAGAAGGUCUUCGGAUUGUAAAGCACUUUAAUUUGAGAGGCGUUACCAACAGAAUAAGCACCGGCUAACUUCGUGCCAGCAGCCGCGGUAAUAC